UUUCUAUUGUUAUUAUUAAUUAUUUUAAUUAUUAAUAUUAAGAUAAAAUGCAAAGUAACACUUUGCCCUUUUUAAUUUGGUCUAAAUUGGUCAAAAUUUGACUUUUCUAGUCAACUAAUGGUCAAACGGACGGUUUCCAUCCAUUUAAACUCCGGGUGCAUAUUUUUGAAAGGUUUGGAACUGUGGGUGGCACAAACUAAAGGUUUGGGGAAAGUCUGCUAAUAAACGAAAGAUUUGAUACCUCAACUGCAAUUUUCCCUUGUCACAAUGUAAGGCUUGUCCCAGCUCUUGGAAAAAGAAGUUGAGUGUGUCUUCUGUCCUAAACUAAUCAAUAGUACUCGGUUGCAAUGGUUGAAAUCUAUUCUAACCAUAUGUGAACCAGUAAACUGGUUGGCAUUUUUUAUGUCUUCUAAUGAAAAAUAUAUAAUCCCAUUUAGUAUAUUUUCCUGGACCUCUUACUUUUCACUUCUCAAUGUCUACUUUCUUAAAAUGAACAGGCAGAUACUCUACAUUUUGGCAAAUGGUUCAACCAGAAUCAUAUUCCAAUAGCCUCUUGCACAAAUCUUUUGCUUUCUAUCACCAAAAGUGACAACCAAAGCACAAGCAAAUCAAAAGAUAUCUCUCUUAAAUUCACUCGGCAACCUUAAUUGCAUAUCCUCUGUCUUCAAAUCAUCUUUAGCAAUAAACAUAUUAUAAAGUUUCUUUCAGUAAAUUGAACAUAUAAGCCUCCCAUAUUUUACUAAGCAGAUAGAAACAGUUACUAAUCAACUCAUAAAAUUCACAAAUCACAAUUCGUACCUCUAGUGGGAUCACCGUUCAAAUCGGCACGUUGCUACUAGCUCAAUCGAUAAUCAAUGAAUUGCCCAAAAUCGGUUUGAAGGGAAGGAAUUGGGGGAAGAACUCAUGAAGGGUUUACUCUUCUCUGAUCUUUCUUCUCUGAUUGCUGAUUUUGACGGGAACGGGAAGGAAAUGAAGAUUUGGGGGAACUAGAAAUGGGAAAAUGGUUUUUU
rnacentral:lncRNA from 1 species